GGAUAAAAGAGCACUUACCAACCAGUGUUUGUCAAAUUAGCAGUUGUUUAGUCCACAGAAUGACAAUGAGGACACUGAAAUGGCCAGCGUGGCAAACCACAUUCUUCGUCAGAGGAAAAGAACGGUUUCCUAGAAUCUAACUGUGAGAGAGCCGCUGUAACCAUACAGACACAGUACAGGAGGUAGCAGCAACAGAAAAACUGUGAAAGUAACCUAUAAAGGCUGAAAUGUGCCUUGUUGAGGGCUUUACUACAAAGUGUAAUGGUUGCAUUUCUCUGCAAUGUAAUACCAACUGCAGGAAGAUUAAAUUAGUAACAAACAG